rnacentral:rRNA from 1 species
CCUACGGGUGGCUGCAGUGAGGAAUAUUGGUCAAUGGGCGCGAGCCUGAACCAGCCAAGUCGCGUGAAGGAUGACUGCCCUACGGGUUGUAAACUUCUUUUAUAAAGGACUAAAGUGAGGCACGUGUGCCUUUUUGUAUGUAUUUUAUGAAUAAGGAUCGGCUAACUCCGUGCCAGCAGCCGCGGUAAUACGGAGGAUCCGAGCGUUAUCCGGAUUUAUUGGGUUUAAAGGGAGCGUAGGUGGGUUGUUAAGUCAGUUGUGAAAGUUUGCGGCUAAACCGUAAAAUUGCAAUUGAUACUGGCAGCCUUGAGUACAGUUGAGGUAGGCGGAAUGCGUGGUGUAGCGGUGAAAUGCAUAGAUAUCACGAAGAACUCCGAUUGCGAAGGCAGCCUACUAACCUGCCACUGACAUUGAUGCUCGAAAGUGUGGGUAUCAAACAGGAUUAGAUACCCGAGUAGUC